AGAGUUUGAUCAUGGCUCAGAACGAACGCUGGCGGCGUGCCUAACACAUGCAAGUCGUGCGAGAAAGUUCCUUCGGGGACGAGUAAAGCGGCGCACGGGUGAGUAACACGUAGGUAAUCUGCCCUCGAGCUCGGAAUAACCUACCGAAAGGUGGGCUAAUACCGGAUAUGACCACGGGAGUUUCGGCUUCUGCGGUGAAAGGUGGCCUCUACUUGUAAGCUACCACUCAAGGAUGAGCCUGCGUACCAUUAGCUAGUUGGUGGGGUAAUGGCCCACCAAGGCUGUGAUGGUUAGCUGGUCUGAGAGGAUGGCCAGCCACACUGGGACUGAAACACGGCCCAGACUCCUACGGGAGGCAGCAGUGGGAGAUAUUGCGCAAUGGGCGAAAGCCUGACGCAGCGACGCCGCGUGGGUGAUGAAGGCCUUCGGGUCGUAAAGCCCUGUCGAGGGGGAAGAAUCGGUUGCGACCUAACACGUCGUAGCCCUGACGGUACCCCUAAAGGAAGCACCGGCUAACUCCGUGCCAGCAGCCGCGGUAAUACGCAGGGUGCGAGCGUUGUUCGGAAUCACUGGGCGUAAAGCGCGUGUAGGCGGCCCACUAAGUCUGAUGUGAAAGCCCGGGGCUCACCCCCCGGAAGUGCAUUGGAAACUGGUGGACUCGAGUCCCGGAGAGGAGAGUGGAAUUCCUGGUGUAGCGGUGAAAUGCGUAGAUAUCAGGAGGAACACCGGUGGCGAAGGCGGCUCUCUGGACGGUGACUGACGCUGAGACGCGAAAGCGUGGGGAGCAAACAGGAUUAGAUACCCUAGUAGUCC
rnacentral:rRNA from 1 species